rnacentral:tRNA from 1 species
GGGGUUCUGGCCGAGUGGUUAAGGCGCUGUGUUUAGGUCAUUCAACCCGCAGUGGGAAACCGCGCAGGUUCGAAUCCUGCGGACCUCA